rnacentral:rRNA from 1 species
AACGAACGCUGGCGGCAGGCUUAACACAUGCAAGUCGAGCGCCCCGCAAGAGGAGCGGCAGACGGGUGAGUAACGCGUGGGAACCUACCCUUUUCUACGGAAUAACGCAUGGAAACGUGUGCUAAUACCGUAUACGCCCUGAGGGGGAAAGAGUUAUCGGAGAAGGAUGGGCCCGCGUGGGAUUAGCGAGUGGGUGGGGUAAAGGCCUACCAAGGCGACGAUCCAGAGCUGGUCUGAGAGGAUGAUCAGCCAAAUUGGGACUGAGACACGGCCCAAACUCGUGCGGGCGGCAGCGGUGGGGAAUAUUUGACAAUGUGCGCGAUCCUGAUCCGGCCAUGCCGCGUGAGUGAUGAAGGCCCUAGGGGUGUAAAGCUCUUUCACCGGAGAAGAUAAUGACGGUAUCCGGAGAAGAAGACCCGGCUAACUUCGUGCCAGCCGCCGCAGUAAGAC